CCUACGGGAGGCAGCAGUGGGGAAUAUUGCACAAUGGGGGAAACCCUGAUGCAGCAACGCCGCGUGAGUGAUGAAGGCCUUCGGGUUGUAAAGCUCUGUCUUUGGGGACGAUAAUGACGGUACCCAAGGAGGAAGCCACGGCUAACUCCGUGCCAGCAGCCGCGGUAAUAAUCUCUAGAGG
rnacentral:rRNA from 1 species